rnacentral:sRNA from 2 species
UGCAUCUGGGGCCAGUGAGGAUGAGAACCUCCGGGGGCAGGAGGUUCGACUCGAGCGAAGCGAGAGAACGUUGCGUCAGCAACGGCCCGCAGGGCGAGCCACGA